AUGCAGAUAUGGUGACAUCGUGCCGCAGUCCAUCAUAGGUAAAAUUGUAGGUGGAGUUUGCGCACUGUCCGGGGUUCUUGUAAUAGCGUUGCCAGUUCCUGUUAUCGUCUCCAAU
rfam:Strongylocentrotus purpuratus Contig120014_fixed, whole genome shotgun sequence.